rnacentral:rRNA from 1 species
GACGAACGCUGGCGGCGUGCUUAACACAUGCAAGUCGAGCGAUGAAGCUUCUUCGGAAGUGGAUUAGCGGCGGACGGGUGAGUAACACGUGGGCAACCUGCCUUGUAGAGGGGGAUAGCCUUCCGAAAGGAAGAUUAAUACCGCAUAACAUAACGAAUUCGCAUGGAUUUGUUAUCAAAGAUCUAUCGCUACAAGAUGGGCCCGCGUCGCAUUAGCUAGUUGGUGAGGUAACGGCUCACCAAGGCCACGAUGCGUAGCCGACCUGAGAGGGCGAUCGGCCACAUUGGAACUGAUACACGGUCCAGACUCCUACGGGAGGCAGCAGUGGGGAAUAUUGCACAAUGGGCGAAAGCCUGAUGCAGCAACGCCGCGUGAGUGAUGAAGGUCUUCGGAUUGUAAAGCUCUUUGAUUAGGGACGAUAAUGACGGUACCUAAAGAACAAGCCACGGCUAACUACGUGCCAGCCGCCGCGGUAAAAC